UGACAUUUGUAUGAAGUUGUAAAUAUGAACAUAGGAAAUCCCGGAGACGACAAAUGACCGCACUUUUGGGCUAAUUAUGUCAGAACUUUGACGAGCAAGUGUCGGCAGCUAAGGGCUAACUGCGUCAUUGAAGUCAGACGUCGAAGAAAGUGUGUUUUAAACCAACAACUCAACCAACCACCGUGUCAAGGAGGAAAGAUUCAGCGAAAAGCAGGUUUCCAGACGUCUCUGCGGCCUCACACUGAACCGCUCUCCCCCUCAGUCUGGAUGGGUUUCACACUUUCCUCCCUGUGCUGCUGGGCCUUGCUCCAGAUCAGAUCUUUUUGCCACUGACUUUGAUAUCUUAAGAGAGCAGCACUCCGGCAACUGCUGAGACUUCUGUCCACCCCAGGUCUGCAUUGAUUG